rnacentral:rRNA from 1 species
UACGUAGGGUCCGAGCGUUGUCCGGAAUUACUGGGCGUAAAGAGCUCGUAGGUGGUUUGUCGCGUUGUCCGUGAAAACUCACAGCUCAACUGUGGGCGUGCGGGCGAUACGGGCAGACUGGAGUACUGCAGGGGAGACUGGAAUUCCUGGUGUAGCGGUGGAAUGCGCAGAUAUCAGGAGGAACACCGAUGGCGAAGGCAGAUCUCUGGGCCGUAACUGACGCUGAGGAGCGAAAGCAUGGGGAGCGAACAGG